rnacentral:rRNA from 1 species
UCUUCCUACGGGACGCAGCAGUGGGGAAUAUUGCACAAUGGGGGAAACCCUGAUGCAGCGACGCCGCGUGAAGGAUGAAGUAUUUCGGUAUGUAAACUUCUAUCAGCAGGGAAGAAAAUGACGGUACCUGACUAAGAAGCCCCGGCUAACUACGUGCCAGCAGCCGCGGUAAUACGUAGGGAGCGAGCGUUGUCCGGAAUUACUGGGCGUAAAGGGCGCGUAGGCGGGAACUUAAGUUAGAUGUGAAAACUCCGGGCUCAACCUGGAGACUGCAUUUAGAACUGGGUUUCUUGCGGGCAGGAGAG